AAAAACGGCCAGCAAAUCGUGAGUACAGUCGAUGACGAUCGUCAUUCCACCGCCGCCCAGUCCUUCGGGGUUGGGUUGGUGGAGCGUGUGAUCCGAUCUGGUAGUAGUCAAGCGUAUUAACAGGGGUGACGCAGGAGGGUAGCUUCCGCGUGGCGAUGGUUGUCCACGUCCAAGGGUGUAGGACGAGGGGUUGGCAAAUCCGCCUCUCUUGCUUUGAUGCUGAGUCUGAGACCUGAUGGUGACCCCGUAGGGGGGAAGUAGGGUGAUCCCAUGCUGUCUAGAAAAGCCUCGGCGCGAGGUUCGAGCCGCCCGUACCCUAAACCGACUCAGGUGAUCAGGUAGUGAAUACCAAGGCGACCGAGAGAAACGUGGUUAAGGGACUCGG
rnacentral:rRNA from 1 species